UGUUGCUGUGUUAGAACCAGAUAACCAGUCCUCGGUGUUGCUGUGUUAGAACCAGAUAACCAGUCCUCAGUGUUGCUGUGUUAGAACCAGAUAACCAGUCCUCAGUGUUGCUGUGUUAGAACCAGAUAACCAGUCCUCAGUGUUGCUGUGUUAGAACCAGAUAACCAGUCCUCAGUGUUGCUGUGUUAGAACCAGAUAACCCCGUCCUCAGUGUUGCUGUGUUAGAACCAGAUAACCAGUCCUCAGUGUUGCUGUGUUAGAACCAGAUAACCCCGUCCUCAGUGUUGCUGUGUUAGAACCAGAUAACCAGUCCUCAGUGUUGCUGUGUUAGAACCAGAUAACCAGUCCUCAGUGUUGCUGUGUUAGAACCAGAUAACCAGUCCUCAGUGUUGCUGUGUUAGAACCAGAUAACCAGUCCUCAGUGUUGCUGUGUUAGAACCAGAUAACCCCAUCCUCAGUGUUGCUGUGUUAGAACCAGAUAACCCCGUCCUCAGUGUUGCUGUGUUAGAACCAGAUAACCAGUCCUCAGUGUUGCUGUGUUAGAACCAGAUAACCAGUCCUCAGUGUUGCUGUGUUAGAACCAGAUAACCAGUCCUCAGUGUUGCUGUGUUAGAACCAGAUAACCCCAUCCUCAGUGUUGCUGUGUUAGAACCAGAUAACCCCGUCCUCAGUGUUGCUGUGUUAGAACCAGAUAACCAGUCCUCAGUGUUGCUGUGUUAGAACCAGAUAACCCCGUCCUCAGUGUUGCUGUGUUAGAACCAGAUAACCAGUCCUCAGUGUUGCUGUGUUAGAACCAGAUAACCAGAUAGAAUAAUGAACCAGGGUCAUAUUCAUUAUGGCACAAAGUAGCAAAA